rnacentral:rRNA from 1 species
GCGCACCAGGCGAGAAUCCUUUACAAUGCCUGAAAGGGUGAUAAGGGCAUCCUGAGUGCUCCAGCAUUGCUGGGGCUUUUCCGGAGUGUAAAAAGCUCCGGGAAUAAGUGGUGGGUAAGACGGGUGCCAGCCAUUUACAUGUCUUACAAUUAAAACUCUAAGUUUCAAAGGCAUGUAAACUGGAAGCCGCGGUAAUACCCGCGCCACAAGUGGUGAUCACGGUUAUUGGGGUCUAGAGCGUUCGUAGCCGGCCUAAUAAAUUCUUGGUGAAAUCCCGUGUAAAACAUGGGAAGAGCUAAGAACACUAUUAGGCUAGGGACCAGGAGAGGCUGAGGGUACUCCAAGGGUAGGGGUUAAAUACUGAAAGAGGUUACUUUCGUACUUUAAAACUUCUCGGUUUUAACAAUCCUGUAAUCCUUGGAGGACCACCUGUGGUGAA